GUGCAGCAGGCGCGAAAACUUCGCAAUGGGGGAAACCCUGACGAGGGGAUUCCAAGUGCCAGCACACAGUGUUGGCUGUUCUUCUGUCCAAAACGCAGGAGAAGUAAGGGCCGGGUAAGACGGGUGCCAGCCGCCGCGGUAAUACCCGCGGCCCGAGUGGUGGUCGAUUUUAUUGAGCCUAAAACGUCCGUAGCCUGCUUGGGUAAAUCCUUUGGGGUAAAUCGGCCAGCUUAACUGUCCGAAGUCCGGGGAGACUGCCAGGCUUGGGGACCGGGAGAGGUCAGAGGUACUUCUGGGGUAGGGGUAAAAUCCUGUAAUCCUAGAAGGACCACCGGUGGCGAAGGCGUCUGACUAGAACGGAUUCGACGGUGAGGGACGAAGCCCCUGGGGGCGCAAACGGGGAUUUAGAUACCCGUGUAGU
rnacentral:rRNA from 1 species